GUUACUACUUGUCUUUUUAGUAAUAGCCAUUAUGACGAGUGUGAGGUUAUAUCUCAUUGGGCUUUUGAUUUGCAUUUCCCUAAUAAUUAGUGAUGACCAUCUUUUCAUGUUCCUGUUGGUUUUCUGUAUAUCUUCUUUAGAAAUAUAUCUGUUGAGAUCGUGUGCCCAUCUUUUAAUUGGUUUGUUCACUUUUUGUUUUUGUUAUAUGAGUACUUUAUAUAUUUUGAAUAUUACCCUCUUAAUGGAUAAAUAAUUUGCAAGUAUCUUUUCCCAAUUGGUAAACUGUCUUUUCAUUUUAUUGAUAGCUUCUUUUGCCCUAAUGAACCUUUUCAGUUUGAUGUAGUCCUGUUUAUUUUUUCUUUUGUUUACUUUUCCUGGGGAGACAUAUUCAAAAAGAUACUACUAAGACCAAUGUCAAAGAGUGUACUGUCUAUGUUUUCUUCUAGGAGUUUUAUAGUUUCAGGUCUUAAUUCAAGUCUAAUCCAUUUUGAGUUGAUUUUUGUGUUUGGUGUAAGAUAGUCGGUCUACUUUCAUUCUUUUGCACGUGGCUGUCCAGUUUUCCAUUUAUGGAAGAGACUUUCUUCAUUGUAUGUUCUUGGCUCUUUCGUUGAAGAUUAACUGUCCGUAGAUGUAUGGUUUUAUUUCUGGGCUUUCAAUUCUGUUCCAAUGGUCUGUGUCCCUGUUUUUGUGCCAGUACCAUGCUGUUUUGAUUACUAUAGCUUUGUAGUAUAUAAAUCAGGGAUUGUGAUGCCUCCAGCUGUGUUCUUUUUUCUCAGGAUUGGUUUGGCUAUUUGGAGUCUUUUAGGAUUCUUUGGUCUAUUUCCGUGAAAAAUGUCAUUUGGACUUUGAUAGGGAUUAUAUUCAAUCUGUAGAUUGCUUUAGGUAGUGUGGACAUUGUAUCUGUUUAGUUCUUCUAAUUCAUGAACAUGGAAUAUCCUUUCACUCAACGUGCCCUGAUGAGCAGUGCCAUGUCCACGCCCAGGAUCUGAGCCAGUGAAACCCUGGGCUGCCAUAGCGGAGCGCACGGACUUAACCGCUGGGCCAUGGGGCCGGUCCCUCUUUGAUUUCUUUUAACAAUAUUUUAUAGUUUUCAGUGUGCAGGUCUUGUACCUCUUCGGCUAAAUUUAUUCCUAGGUUUUUUAUUCAUUUUGUUGUGAUUGUAAAUGAGAUUGUAUUCUUGAUUUCUUUUUCUGCUAUUUUUGUUAUUAGCAUACAGAAAUGCCUCUGAUUUUUAUAUGUUAAUUUUGUGCCCUGUAACUUCACUGUAUUCUUUAUUUAUAAUAGUUUUUUGAUGGAUUAGGAUUUAGGAUUUUCUACAUAUAAAAUCAUGUCACCUGCAAAUAGUGAUAGUUUCACUUCUUCCUUUCCAAUUUGGAUCCUCUUCUUUCCUUUUCUUCCCUAAUUGCUCUGGCUAGGACUUCCAAUUCUAUAUGGAAUAAGGGUGGUGAAAGUGAGCAUCCUUGUCUUGUUUCUGUUCUUAGAGUGAUAGCUUUCAGUUUUUCACCAUUGAGUGUGAUGUUGGCUGUGGGUUUGUCAUAUAUAGUUUAUGUUGAGGUACUUGCCUUCUACACCCAUUUUAUACAGAGUUUUUUUUUUAUCACAAAUAGAUGCUGAAUCUUGUCAAAUGCUUUAUCUGCAUUUAUUGAGGUGAUCAUGUGAUUUUUAUUCUUCAUUUGUUAAUGUGGUGUAUUACGUUGAUUGAGGAUGGUGAACCAACCCUACAUCCCUAGAAUAAAUCCCGCUUGAUUGUAGUGUAUGAUCCUUUUAAUGUAUUGUUGUAUUCUAUUUGCCAAUAUUCUGUUGAGGACUUUUGGAUUGAUGUUCCUUAGUGAUAUUGGCCUGUAGUUUUCUUUUUUUGUGUUGUCCUUGUCUGGUUUUGGUAUCAGGGUAACGUUGACUCUGUAAAAUGAGUUAGGAAGGUUUGAGUAGGAUAGAUAAUAAGUUUUCUUUGAAUGUUUGGUUGUUUGGUAGAAUUCACCAAAGAAGCUAUCUGGUCCUGGACUUUUGUUUUUUAGGAGGUUUUUGAUUACUGUUUUGAUCUUUCUAGUGAUCAGUCUACUCACGUUCUCUGUUUCUUAUUGAUUCAGUUUUGGAAGGUUGUAUAAUUCUAAAGAUUUAUCUAUUUCUUCUAGGUCAUCCAAUUUGUUGGCAUAUAUCUUUUCAUAGUAUUCUUCUAUAAUCCUUUGUGUUUCUGUGGUAUCUGUUUUAAUUUCUUCUGUUUUGUUUCUGGUUUUAUUUGUGCCUUCUCUCAUCUUUUUAGUGAAUCUAGCUGAAGGUUUGUCAAUUUUAUCUUUUCAAAGAACUAGGUCUUAGUUUCAUUGAUCUUUUCUAUUGUCUUUUUAGUCUCUGUUUCAUUUAUUUUUGCUCAGAUUUUUAUUAUUUCCUUCCUUCUACUGAUUUUGGGCUUCAUUUGUUCUCUUUCUAGUUCCCUUAGGUGUUAUUUUAGAUUGUUUAUUUGAGGUUUUUCUCAUUCCUUUAGGUAGGCCCGUAUUGCUAUAAACUUCUCUCUUAGUACCGCUUUUUCUGUAUCAUACAUUUUUGUGUGUUGUAUUUUCAUUUUCAUUUGUCUCCAGGUAUUUUUUAAUUUCUCCUUUGAUUUUGUCACUGACCCAAUACUUGUAGUAUUUUGUUCAAUCUCCACAUAUUUGUGACUUUCCAGUUUUUUUCUUGUAGUUGAUUUCUGGUUUCAUAAUGUUGUGGUCAGAAAAGAUGCUUGAUAUUAUUUUAAUCUUCUUAAAUUUAUUGAGACUUGUUUUGUGACUUAAUAUGUGUUCUCUCCUGGAGAAUGUUUCAUGUGCGUUAUAAAAGAAUGUGUAUUCUGCAAUUUUUGGAUGGAAUUUUCUGUAUGUAUCUACUAAGUCCAUCUGGUCUAAUGUGUCUUUUAAGGUCAGUGUUUCCUUAUUGAUCUUCUGUUUGUAUGAUCUAGCCUUUGAUGUAAGCAGGGUGUUAACAUCCCCUACUAUUAUUGUGUUACUGUCAAUUUCUUCUUCUAUGUGUGUUAAUAUUUGCUUUAUGUAUUUAGGUGCUCUUAUGUUGGGUGCAUAGAUACGUACAAGUGUUACAUAUAUGCAGGUGUUUACAAGUGAUAUUUAUAAGUGUUCCCUAUUCCAUUAUGUACCACCCUCUGUCUUUUGAUUGUAGCAUUUAGUCCAUUGACAUUUAAAGUAAUUAUUGAUAGGUAUGUACUUAUUGCCAUUUUGUUACUUUUUUGUUUUUUGUAGUUCAUAUCUGUUUGCCUCUUGCUCUUUUCCCUUGUGAAUUUAAUGACUUUCUUUAGUGUUAUGUUUAGGUUCCUUUCUCUUUAUUUUUUUGUCUAUUUAUUACAGGUUUUGGUUUGUAGUUACCAUGAGGUCAUAUAUGAUAACCUAUUAAAUAGCAUUCUAUGUUAAGUUGAUGAUCUCAUAAAUUUGACCUCAUAUUAAAAGCCCUACACUUUUACUCCCCUCCCCACAUACUAUGUU
ensembl:lncRNA